rfam:Microgenomates (Amesbacteria) bacterium GW2011_GWC2_45_19 TX05_C0002, whole genome shotgun sequence.
GCGGGAUUAGUACACCGGUAGUAUAUCUGCUUCCCAAGCAGAAGAAGCGGGUUCGAUUCCCGUAUCCCGCU